rnacentral:rRNA from 1 species
ACUGCUCAGUAACACGUGGCUAACCUACCCUCAGGACAGGGACAAACCCGGGAAACUGGGGCUAAUACCCGAUAGGCGAGGGCGCCUGGAAUGGUUCUUCACCCAAAGGGCUUUGGAAGCAUGCUUUUCAAAGUCGCCUGGGGAUGGGGCCGCGUCCGAUCAGGUUGUUGGUGAGGUAACGGCUCACCAAGCCUAUAACCGGUACGGGCCGUGAGAGCGGUAGCCCGGAGAUGGGCACUGAGACAAGGGCCCAGGCCCUACGGGGCGCAGCAGUCGCGAAAACUCCGCAAUGCACGAAAGUGUGACGGGGCUACCCCGAGUGCCGUCCGCUGAGGAUGGCUUUUCCUCGGUGUAACUAGCCGGGGGAAUAAGGAGAGGGCAAGACUGGUGUCAGCCGCCGCGGUAAUACCAGCUCUCCGAGUGGUAGGGAUGAUUAUUGGGCUUAAAGCGUCCGUAGCCGGCUUAGCAAGUCUCCUGUUAAAUUCAGCGACCUAAUCGUUGAGCCGCGGGAGAUACUACUAGGCUAGGAGGCGGGAGAGGCCGACGGUACUUCCGGGGUAGGGGUGAAAUCCUAUAAUCCCGGGAGGACCACCAGUGGCGAAGGCUGUCGGCUAGAACGCGCUCGACGGUGAGGGACGAAAGCUGGGGGAGCGAACCGGAUUAGAUACCCGGGUAGUCCCAGCCGUAAACGAUGCGGGCUAGGUGUUGGGGUGGCUACGUGCCACUUCAGUGCCGCAGGGAAGCCAUUAAGCCCGCCGCCUGGGGAGUACGGCCGCAAGGCUGAAACUUAAAGGAAUUGGCGGGGGAG